rnacentral:rRNA from 1 species
UACGUAGGGUGCGAGCGUUGUCCGGAAUUAUUGGGCGUAAAGGGCUCGUAGGCGGUUUGUCGCGUCGGGAGUGAAAUCCACUGGCUUAACUGGUGGCUUGCUUUCGAUACGGGCAGACUGGAGGUAUGCAGGGGGAGAACGGAAUUCCGGGUGUAGCGGUGGAAUGCGUAGAGAUCCGGAAGAACACCGGUGGCGAAGGCGGCCUGCUGGGCAGUGGCUGACGCUGAGGCGCGACAGCGUGGGAGCAACAGG